GUCAGCCGCCGCGGUAAGACGGAGGGCGCAAGCGUUGUUCGGAAUUACUGGGCGUAAAGGGCGGGCAGGUGGUCUGUUAAGUCGUUUGUGAAAAUCCGGGGCUCAACCCCGUGAAAUGCAAGCGAUACUGGCAGACUGGAGAUCGGUAGAGGCUAGCGGAAUUCCUGGUGUAGCGGUGGAAUGCGUAGAUAUCAGGAAGAACACCCGUGGCGACGGCGGCUAGCUGGGCCGAGUCUGACACUCCUCCGCGAAAGCGUGGGGUGCAAACAGGAUUAGAUA
rnacentral:rRNA from 1 species